UCAAACCCUGUACAGUAAGGCAGAAGAAGAUGCAUAUGCUAUUAAAUUUUUUCUCCUAGGAGGCUGUUCGCUCGCCCAUGCACUGUUUGCAUAGAACUCACUGGUGAAUUUAGGGAAGAUGCUAUUCUGCAUAGCAGUGAAGCAUAUCCUUAAGUCUCACUGAAAUAUAGGAGAAGACAGGAUUACAAGUCCUUCCCGAGGAGCCGGAACAGAACCCAUUAAGAUCCUUGGAAUGAAUACCCCCUCAAUAGAAGAUAGAUGCAAACAAGGAACCAUGUUGCCUGGGCUGCUGAUGAGCACCUGAGGAUCCUCAGUGUGCUGAAAGCAUGGUCUGUCUGAGGUGCUCCUGUGCCAGAACAGAGCUGAAGCGAUGUGACCCAGAAUCCUGCUGCAGGGUUGGGAUCAUUCCCCGCACAGUCCUGUGCUUCAAUCUUCUGCGUGACAUCAGAUAAGUAAACACCAAGAUUUGAUGGGAGAACAUAUGUCCAUUGCAUAAUUCAUUAGCGUUCUUCUCUGGAAUUGCUUUUAGAUAUAUGUGUUUAAAUUGGAAUUAGUGGGUGAGGGUGAUUCAGGGAACACAAGUAUGGCAGAUUUGAGAAAUGGUUACUUCUCCUGGGACUGAAGGCAACUUUGGCCAUUCAUUUUGUUUGCUUCUUCAAUGAUUAUUUUAGUUGUUAGUAUUUGUUUGUUAGUAUUCCUUUCCUGCCGUUUGGGUGUGAGAUGGUAGAAGAACAGUGGUACAGAAACCUGCAGCUCAGCACUGCUGCUAAAUCCACAGUCUGCUCAGAAAAUAGAAUUAUCAUCUAGGCCAAUUUCAAAGCUGUGUAACUCCAUUGCCUUGAGUACAGUCGUUCCUGAUUGCCAAACACGAGAAACAUUCAAAACUAUUUACCUUCUGUUUUGCAAUGUACCCGCUCCACGUUCGUACUACUUAGCAGGCAAAGUCAAUUGUUAGCCUGCCCAGGCUGUGCAAAUGCACAGUAACAGCAAAUCAUCGCAGUGCUUACAGCUUGUUCUCUUCUGUCAGCAAGAAAAUUGGAAACACAUUCAGCUUGUGUGGGACACCUGGGAUGUGUGUUGUUCUCUAACGAAGACAUUGCACGCACCCUUUUCCUUGCCUCAUUUCAUCUUGACAUGCAGCACAGCCAAUGGCUUUGGGGAUUGUUUUGCUGUAAGAAUGUUUGGGGAAAAAACCAGACCCAUCCCAAAACAGUACUGUACAGUAUGAGUCACCGAGGAGAAAUGGGAGGAGGAGCUAUUUUGGGGGCUUUUAUAACUUUCUUAUUGCUAGGAGACUGCUUCCCCUGAGUGCAGCACUCUCUGGGCUCCCAACAGCUGCCUUGUUUGCACUGAGGGCAAUUCACAGAGCAGCUUUGUAUGAAAGGAGAAACAAACCUGGAGGGAGCGCAUCGUCACUUCUCAGGCUUCUGAGACAAAUGCAGAAGAGUAAGGCAGCUGCUAUUCCAAGGAAAGCAUUGUGCCCAAAAUGUUAAGGAUCUGGGGCUGAUCUCACUGUUCUACUCUGCUGCCAGGACAGCCACAGGUUGUUCUCUGCAAAGAGCAGAGGCCUGGGAUUCAGAGGAUGUGCUUUGCCCAUAGCUUUGCUGCUGCAAAAGCAAUGAAGGCAGCACUUAAGUCAUGUAAGUCAUGGACACCUGCAAGCUCCUCUGCCCUGCCUCGGUGUGUGGGGCUGGGGUAAAACAAUUCAUUGGGAGUGAACUGUCAGGAAAAUGAUGCUGAGACCAUCACUGUUACUACUGGGGAAGUAUUGAUGGUGAAGGCUGCAGCUUUCCCACCCAACCGGGGUCUGAGGGGCAUGUGAGCAGGGUGAGCCACCCACGGGGCUCCCAGCACUGUUCUAAAAAGGGGGAACAUGCGAAGCGAAGACCAGACUUCAUUUCUAAUGCAUCCCUGAGUGCGAACUGUUUGCAGAGACUGGGUCUAGCAUCAAGGGAGGUAAGACUAUCAAUAUAUCAUUUUGCUCUGAAGUCGUGAGGCUGUUGCACAUUUUAUGUAAGCAAGUACUCAGUCACAUUAAUUUUAGGCAUCUGAGACUGUAUUUAUGAUGUACUAAAUCCAACUUUAUGUUCCUGGUAGCAAUCAGAGAUGCCGUGGUUCUCAGAAGUAAAGCACUGAAUGGGUACAGAUGCAGCCUGCUGGCUCAGGAAAUGUUGAUGGGUCAAUUCCAUGCAGCCAAGGCUUAGACUUCAUCAGGUUUUUCCUCCUGUCUGCAAAUGGUGUGAUUGGCAAAAGCAAUGGCAAUGCAGGUUCUCAUCAGCUCAGUCUUUCAUCACACAGUCAAUAAACAGUUGAAAAGGACUCUUCUGAACUGCAGCAGGAGGGAGGAGGAAGAGGGGAAAUUAAUGAUAUCACCAAACUGAAAACUCUUUCAAGUUGCCUUUAAUUGCAGAGGGCACGGGCAGCAAUUUCAGUUUUUAGCUCUCAGAUCUCUUGCUGUCCCCAGAGGGACUGGACCUCCUGUCCUCCCACGCUGCCAGCAUUCCUCCUGCAGUGGCCGAGCCAGGUGGCAGUGGGACAGACACGUGGCCCCAACAUGGGCUCCAACUCAUGGCUCCAGCACCAUCACCUCCUGCACCUUCCUUCAUCCUCCAAAGGUGCUCCUGAAGUUGGUCUCUCCCAGGACCUCACCUUCACAUGAGCAGCUGAAUUCAAGGCUGAACCCCUCUGUGCCCCUCCCAGCAUCAGCAUUCUGCUUGUUGCCCCCACCGGCCAUCAUGAGCUGCCCUGAUGUUUUCUUGCUGUGAAUCCAUGCCUUCAUGAGGUGAGCAGUCUGCUGGGUCUGAAAUACGUUCUUCCUGGGUUGCAGAGGUUCAGGUCACUGCUGUUGAACUUGGCCCAAGAAGCAGUGCACGGGUUCGUGCUCUGCACUGAUAGUAUUGAUUUCUCUGUCUGCAUUGUGUUAGUGAGUGUGGCCUUGCAAAGAAGGAAAUUACUCCUGCGGCCUCAGGCAGUACAAAAGCUGCCAUGUCACUUAACGGAAGUGGUGCCAGGGUUUUUAUAGAGUGUAGUUCACCUCUUUCAAAAUCCUGCUGAAGGAUGCUUGAGCUAACAAAACUGGGCGCUCUGCAUUAAAGAAAGCCACGCACAUUAGCUUUAUUGUCAAGACAUGGUACAGAGCAUUUAUUACUUUUGGCUCAUGUACAACGUUGGGUUAUUCUGUGAGUUUACACAAGACUGUCUAUUUGUAGUUGAAAGUGAAUUAUUUGCUCAUUAGUGGUUCAGGAAGGUCUGCUGGCUCCUGCCGUGCGAGGCAGCUUGGGUUCCUCCGUGUGAUGGAAUGUGCUUGUCAGAGGCUCACAGCAUCCUCAAGGUGGUCCAGAGGACGUGUGAUUAUGAAAAUCAGCUACUGCCAUAAGAAUGUUCAGCUUUUUCCUUUUUUUUGUUGCCCUUUUGUUCCAUAUUCGUUUUUCAGAAAGCAAAUACUCGUGAGGCUUCAAAGAGGGGUAUUCCUGAAGCCGGGGCUGUGCAGUAGGCUUAGCAUAUUCUGCUUUUCCUGGCUUGAGCACUCACAGAGCAUUGUUCUCCUGAAGAAUCACGUCUUAGUGUUGCCAGCCUCCACAGUUUCACACAGAAGCAAGACCAGAAGCACACAAGCAGAUUUCUUGUGAGUUUUUCUUGGUCAUGACACUAAGACAUAUGGAACAAU